rnacentral:rRNA from 1 species
GAUGAACGCUGGCGGCGUGCCUAAUACAUGCCAGUCGAGCGAACAGACGAGGAGCUUGCUCCUCUGAUGUUAGCGGCGGACGGGUGAGUAACACGUGGAUAACCUACCUAUAAGACUGGGAUAACUUCGGGAAACCGGAGCUAAUACCGGAUAAUAUAUUGAACCGCAUGGUUCAAUAGUGAAAGACGGUUUUGCUGUCACUUAUAGAUGGAUCCGCGCCGCAUUAGCUAGUUGGUAAGGUAACGGCUUACCAAGGCGACGAGGCGUAGCCGACCUGAGAGGGUGAUCGGCCACACUGGAACGGAGACACGGUCCAGACUCCUACGGGAGGCAGCAGUAGGGAAUCUUCCGCAAUGGGCGAAAGCCUGACGGAGCAACGCCGCGUGAGUGAUGAAGGUCUUCGGAUCGUAAAACUCUGUUAUUAGGGAAGAACAAAUGUGUAAGUAACUAUGCACGUCUUGACGGUACCUAAUCAGAAAGCCACGGCUAACUACGUG